UAAGGAAUAUUGGUCAAUGGAGGCAACUCUGAACCAGCCAUGCCGCGUGAAGGAUGAAGGUCCUCUGGAUUGUAAACUUCUUUUAUGUGGGAAGAAAUGCCUGUUUUUAAAUGGGUUUGACGGUACCAUAGGAAUAAGCACCGGCUAACUCCGUGCCAGCAGCCGCGGUAAUACGGAGGGUGCGAGCGUUAUCCGGAUUCACUGGGUUUAAAGGGUGCGUAGGUGGGAAUGAAAGUCAGUGGUGAAAUCUCUGAGCUUAACUCAGAAACUGCCAUUGAUACUAUGUUUCUUGAAUUUUCUGGAGGUCAGCGGAAUAUGUCAUGUAGCGGUGAAAUGCUUAGAUAUGACAUAGAACACCAAUUGCGAAGGCAGCUGGCUACAGGGAUAUUGACACUGAGGCACGAAAGCGUGGGGAUCAAACAG
rnacentral:rRNA from 1 species